GACGAACGCUGGCGGCGUGCCUAAUACAUGCAAGUUGAGCGCUGAAGGUUGGUACUUGUACCAACUGGAUGAGCAGCGAACGGGUGAGUAACGCGUGGGGAAUCUGCCUUUGAGCGGGGGACAACAUUUGGAAACGAAUGCUAAUACCGCAUAAAAACUUUAAACACAAGUUUUAAGUUUGAAAGAUGCAAUUGCAUCACUCAAAGAUGAUCCCGCGUUGUAUUAGCUAGUUGGUGAGGUAAAGGCUCACCAAGGCGAUGUUACAUAGCCGACCUGAGAGGGUGAUCGGCCACAUUGGGACUGGGACACGGCCCAAACUCCUACGGGAGGCAGCAGUAGGGAAUCUUCGGCAAUAGACGAAAGUCUGACCGAGCAACGCCGCGUGAGUGAAGAAGGUUUUCGGAUCGUAAAACUCUGUUGGUAGGGAAGAACGUUGGUGAGAGUGGAAAGCUCAUCAAGUGACGGUAACUACCCAGAAAGGGACGGCUAACUACGUG
rnacentral:rRNA from 1 species